AACGAACGCUGGCGGCAUGCCUAACACAUGCAAGUCGAACGAAGGCUUCGGCCUUAGUGGCGCACGGGUGCGUAACGCGUGGGAAUCUGCCCUUGGGUACGGAAUAACAGUUAGAAAUGACUGCUAAUACCGAAUGAUGUCGAAAGACCAAAGAUUUAUCGCCCAAGGAUGAGCCCGCGUAGGAUUAGCUAGUUGGUGAGGUAAAGGCUCACCAAGGCGACGAUCCUUAGCUGGUCUGAGAGGAUGAUCAGCCACACUGGGACUGAGACACGGCCCAGACUCCUACGGGAGGCAGCAGUGGGGAAUAUUGGACAAUGGGCGAAAGCCUGAUCCAGCAAUGCCGCGUGAGUGAUGAAGGCCUUAGGGUUGUAAAGCUCUUUUACCCGGGAUGAUAAUGACAGUACCGGGAGAAUAAGCCCCGGCUAACUCCGUGCCAGCAGCCGCCGUAAAAC
rnacentral:rRNA from 1 species